rnacentral:misc_RNA from 1 species
UGUCUCUCUCGUUUGGACUAUCGCUGGCACCGCACAAAGUCUCUCCGUCCUCCAGACCCGCUCACAAGAUUUCGCACCCAUUCUGCUUUGCACCUCUGCGCGUCUUCGCGUCAUCCUCUCUUCUCCCGAUUUUUCUUCGGUGCUGGCGCUUCAUUGGUGCACCCUCGACAACGUCCCCCUUCCCCAACACGAACGCGCACAAGCACAAUGGCGGAGACUGCGAUUGCGUUCCGCUGCCAGGACUACGUCAUGGUCGCUGCGGCCGGCCUCAACGCCUUCUACUACAUCAAGAUAACCGACGCGGAGGACAAGAUUACGCAGCUUGACACACAUCAGCUGAUCGCGUGCACUGGCGAGAAUGGCCCUCGCGUGAACUUCACCGAAUACGUAAAGUGCAACCUCAUGCUCAACCGCAUGCGCCAGCACGGGCGCCACAGCAGCUGCGAUUCAACGGCGAACUUCAUGCGCAACUGCCUCGCCAGUGCGAUCCGCAGUCGCGAGGGGGCUUACCAGGUGAACUGCCUCUUUGCCGGCUACGACAUGCCGGUUUCCGAGGAUGACGACGGUGCGGUGGGACCGCAGCUGUUUUACUUGGACUACCUCGGCACCCUGCAGGCUGUGCCGUAUGGUUGCCAUGGCUACGGAGCUUGCUUUGUGACUGCUCUGCUAGAUUGCCUCUGGCGUCCUGAUUUGACCCAACAGGAGGGCCUUGAGCUCAUGCAGAAGUGCUGCGAUGAGGUGAAGCGCCGCGUCGUCAUCAGCAACUCAUACUUCUUUGUGAAGGCGGUGACGAAGAACGGAGUAGAGGUCAUCACGGCGGUGCACUAGAGGACGAUAUGGUCGGCGAGCGAAGAACAAAAAAAAAGCAAGCGCACGGAGCGCACAAAGAAAGAUGGGAUCCGUACGGCGCAGGAGAGGGACCGGAAGUGAACGGGGUGAGGUUGGAGGUAUCGUUGAGGGAAGACUGGCUGCAUAGUUCGGAGGGAGCGACAAGGAGCGCCGCUGUUGCUGUCCGUGUGUGUGGGCCAUCUCCGUGUGUCUGUGCGCGUUCCCGCGUCGUUUCUUACCCCCUCCCUCCUCUCUCUCCCCCUGCGCGUGUGUGACUGAUUCGAUGUUGCUAGUAAGCGAGAAUAACACAGCGCCAGAGGAGGAGAGUGAGGGAAGGGGAUUGGGCGCAGAGUGAUGGGUCUCUCUCUCUCUUUCGUUGUCUGCCUGUCUGCUGUUCCGUCUGUUGCAUCGAUCCUUCGUGUGCUCUCUGCCGCCUUUUCCUUCCUUUCCCUUGGUUUCUGGACGCUAUUUGUAUUUGAGACUCGCGUUGGCGCUAUGGAUGGGCCCCAGG